rnacentral:rRNA from 1 species
CUCGUAGGUGGCCAACUAAGUCAGACGUGAAAUCCCUCGGCUUAACCGGGGAACUGCGUCUGAUACUGGAUGGCUUGAGUUUGGGAGAGGGACGCGGAAUUCCAGGUGUAGCGGUGAAAUGCGUAGAUAUCUGGAGGAACACCGGUGGCGAAGGCGGCGUUCUGGACCAAUACUGACACUGAGGAGCGAAAGCCAGGGGAGCAAACG